UCAUGACUUAAGCUGAAGUUGGAUGUUCCACUGAGUGAGCCACCCAGGUGCCCCUCUCUCUCCUUAUUUCUAAACCACUGUAUAGAUACACAAAGAUUUGCUUAAAGUAUCAAUUUUAUGCAUGUAUUUUAAUUUUAAUUGCACCAUGAGUAAACUGUUGAAAAAUUUUGAACAGUUGGCCCUUAAAUCACUAUAGGCUGAGUCAUCUACAGAUGAAAAUAAGGCAAUAGAGACUGUUACCCAGAAGAAAAGGAACAUAUUGCAAUAGAAUAUACUUUCAACAAAUGAAAACUAUAAUUAAAAUAUAAUCAUGUGAUUAGAAGUAGAUUACAAAGAGCAUAUCAUGCUUCCAGCAUAUUCUGUAUACACGUAGAUCUUAAAUUUUGAAGUUUGUUAGUCUUAACGUGGCUUUAAGUAUUUUGUACCAAUAUUCACAGCAAUCUUUUCAUUCACAGUUCGUGAAAUCUCCCACAGUUUUAUUAAUUAAAAUAUAACUUUUUUACCUGAAUGGUAUGCUAACUAUAUUGUUAAGGCACUUUUGUAUGCAUCUCAAAUAUACCAUCAGCGUGAUCUUGAUUUUGACCUGACUGAAUGGAUUUGUUGUGCUACUUGGGAAUAUAGUCAGGAUUACCCUGCAGAUGGUUUUUAAAACCUUUUAUUUUAUAACAUAGUUUCCAUUUCUCAUGGAGCAUGUGUUUCUUUUUGAUUUGCCUAUAAGUUUCUUCUCUUGUUUUUCAUAAGUACGUUACCUCAUGGUCUUAAACACCUUCUGUUGCUUUCUUGAAAAUGAAACAAGAGACAUGCCUGUUGAGGAAGCCUAAUGCUUCUGUAGUCUUAAAAAAUAACUUGGAAGUGUAUUUUGAUGGUGUUUAAUGUAAAGAGUUUAAUACUCAGAGAAAAUGUUUCCUUGGCAAGUGAGCGGGAAUGAGCCAGGCUUUGGGGAGAUUUUUUUCUGUCUGUGAUGGCUACACAGACAAGCCUGUGCACAGUCUUGUGCACAAUAUCCAUCAUUCCUUUGUGCAUUCUCUGAGUCUUCUUGGAGAAGUUAUCAAAUGGUCAGACAGGACUUGCUCCCUAUGUGUACUGAGUUGAUCUUUUAAUUUGUAACGGAGAUCCUAAAUGAAUGAAUACUUGGAAGGAUACAGAGGCCCUAGCCUUCUUAACUACAGCUUCUAAAUUGGGACGUCAUUUACGUGUGAAAGAGAAAGCAAUUUCUUUUCAACUGGGGUAUUCUGCAAUGAGUAGGAUCAUUGUUAUCUUGACUUUGUUGUGCAGACAAGCCACAGUGGCAGCAGAGAUAGCAUCAGCCAAUUAAACUCCAAUACAGUGUUCAAAGGAUAUGGAAGAUAGAAUUUAAUUAUGAAACAGAUGACACCACUCAAUCCUAAUUGUCAUAACAGGAUCCAAGUCAAGGGCCUGUUAAUCACCAGGCCCAGAGAAUGGAUAGCACAGCAUCUUAUGUCACCAAGGGCAAAAAGCAUCAGGCCAUGGUUACAUUGCACCUUAAUAAUCCCAAGUAGGAACAAAAACAAAUAGAAACUUCUCUUUAUUUUCUGUAACAUUAAGUAUCGGGAAAUAAUUAUGCAGUUACUAAGAUGGCAGGCAAUUAGAUUUCUUUCUUAUAGUUGAUUCUUUUACUAAGAAAUCCUUAGUGAAACUCUGGAGUUUCUUUAAUUCUCACAAGUAUUUUCAGAGUUAUGAUUCUUUUUUACAUCGAAAAUUAACCACACUUACUGGUUUAGCCAAUAAUAUCAGGGGAACGAGAGACCUAUAAAAGCUUCCAAAUUGGCACCAGCCAUACACUCACAAGAGCCAAGCUGCCUUAACAACUUGUUACAAAUGCCUAACAGCUCCAGAGAGAAAAUAUUUUCCUGAGCCUACAGUUUCUCAUCUGUUUUGCUUUUCCGCAAACUUCACAAAGAUAGUGGGCAAUAUGCCUCACUUCCCAGACACCAAUCUAUUUUGGCCAAAUAUUUAAUUUUUAACCAGUAUGGUGACCAGAAGUAGAAAAUAAGAAGGAUGCUAUAUAGAAUAGAAAAACGCAGGACUUGGAGUCAAAAUGGUUGGUUUGCAGUCCCUGCUUUGCUGCUGCUUCCUUUUUCACUGAGUAAGUCCCUGAACCUUCAUUGGAUUCCAGUUUGGAGAUGGGGUAGAACUCAUGGGUUGUUGUGUACAUUAAGAAAGAUGGUUUGGAAAUACCAUACAAUUGCUACUUAGCAUUACAUGAGAUUGGAGUUGUGCAUCAGAAUGGGUCAACUAACCUUAACACCUGCUAGAGGUCUAUCAUUAGGUAGUUUUGCAUUUCUAUGUUCCAUUCAAGGUACAUUUUCUCCGUGUUACAGGCAAAAAAGCAAUUACAAGGAGAUUAAAUAACAUGCCUAACAUCAUAAAGCUUUGUUAUUGGAAAAACUGGGAUGAGAAUCUUCUUUAACUCUGGGAUUAUACUUUUUUUCCAUUCUUCCAAGUUUGGAAUUAAGGUGAAUGCAGCUUCCUUCUUCAGCUGAUUUAACUCACGAAUCCUGCCAGAGAGAGUAUCUGUGUUUGGCAGAAUAAUGGGCCCCAAAGAUUUCACUCUCCAAUCCUAAGAACCUGUAAAUAUAUUCCUUAUAUGGCAAAGAGAGUUUACAGAUGUGAUUAAGGAUCAUGAGAUAGAUUAUCUGGGUGGGUCUAGUGUAAUCACAAGUGUCCUUAGAAGAGGGAGGCAAGAGGGUUAGAGGAGAUGUGCCAGUAAGGCACAAGUCAGAGAGAAAGAGAGUUGUGAGGAUGUUACACUGAGGGCUUUCAAGCUGGAGGAAGGGGCUCUGAGCCAAGGAGUGCCGGUGACCUCUGGAAGUUAGAAGAGGCAAGGAAACAAAUCCUCCCCUAGAGUCUUCAAAAGAAAUCCAGUCUUACGGAAACGAUUUUAGUCCAGUGACUCCUGACCUAUGAAACUGUGACAUAAUAAACUUGUAUUGUUUUAAGCCACUGAGUUGCGGUAAUAUUUGUUACUGCAGCAAUAGGCAACUAAUACAGGGUUCUUAUCUUUUCCAGGGGUCUCAAGCUUUGCUUGUCCAGAUGGAGAGUGGCUCAGCUUUAGUCCCUUAACUAGGAGGUGGAUGGAUCAUGGAGGGCUAACUUUUAUAUCCAUAUCAAUCACUUUUACAAGAUGGCGGGAUUACAUUCUCAGAGCCUUCGGUUGAUUGGAUGAGGCCCACUCACCUGGUGGAAGUAAUCUGCUUUACUCAAAGUCCACCAAUUUAAAAGUUAAGCUCAUCUAAACAACAGUUUCGUACAACAUCCGAGUAAUAUUUGGCUCAGCCAAGUUGACACAUAAAAUUAACCAUCACAUUUGGGAAAGAAAAAGAAGUUAAAUGUGACUGAAGUAUGGUGCAAGAAAAGGGGUGAUAGAAAAUGAGGGCAGAUAAGAAAACAAAAAGAAAACGAGGGCAGAUACCAUAUUGGGAAAUGUUUCCCAGAGAGCAGAAUUUUGGGACAGCAAAGCCAGAAAGAAGGAGAAUCAGUACAAGAAAGUGUUAUCAAGUUGGCUACCACUUCAUGAAAUCAUCCUAGAAACCCUAUGAAAUGCAUCUCAAGACCAUCUCUCCUGGGGAAGAAAGGGAGAAAUACUUAUCCACAGGUUCGCACCUCCCAUUUGUUAAAGUUUCACCUCAUUGGACAAAUUGCCAGCACUUCUGGGUUGUACAUGGUUUUAGCGUAAAACAGGUUCCUGUGGUGUCUCACUCUGUGCCAUCAACAUAGAAGCCCCAGAGUGGGAGGGAGGGGUGUGCAUGGCACAGGACUGACACAAAGCACCGUCAGGUUGCACCUGCAAGAAGUGGGUCAGAACCUGUGAAGAACUGGUUGUCAUGGCAGUGGCUGGAAGGAGAGACAGGCGAAGCUGAGGAGAUCUGAGUGGCAUCUGAUACAGUCUCCAACACUAAGAUCCUGCAUGGAGCCUCUCAUUUUUAGGAAAAAAAAAAUGUAAAAUCACUUACGUUUGAAUUCAUUAAGUUGAAAACUACAAUUUUAAGUAUUGUGUUUAGUAAUGUAAAUUGAAUGUACUAUUAGUGAAACCGUAUCAUUAUAGAGUUAGAGAAAUAGAGAAUUUGACUCAUCUGGCUCUCUUUGUGUCUUCGUCUGUUCUUAGUUUUGAUCAAUACAUUUUCAGGAGACCUUAAAAUUGGAAACCUGCCAGGAGGUACCUGUGAUCUGAUGUUUUCUGCACUCGUGUUAGGGGAAUGACUGCAAAGGAAUUAGCCUGGGCUUGGUGCAGAGUUACCUGGACUAUGUUUCUGGGAAGUCUAAAGUUGGCUAUGGAGGUGUCCCAACUGAUGAAUUUAGGGAAGAACCAGAGCCUCAGAGCAAAAGCAUGUCAGCUAAGUCGGUAUGAACAAGUGGUGGAGUAUGUACAAUCUAGUCUUCCAUGGUCUACCAUAGGGUACCUCAGACUUUUUGGUUGCAUGUCAAUGAAAGUAAUACUGAAAAAUCUGUGUAUUUCUUCCAUUAACAACUAAAAUAUUUUACUCUAAGUUGUUAAAAAUAAUGCAAUUGCUGGCCAAUUGUAAAUAUUAACAUUAAAACAAACUGAAAUCACUUAAAAAUAUUUUUCAAUGGAAUCUUGAUACAGUAACAAUUCGAUAGUCUCAUUAAAAAAUAUGUAAGAUCAUUUUAAUAGUCAGAAAUUUUAUACCAUUCCUCUUUUGAACUCAUUUCCAUUUAACCUCCCCCACAUAUUUUAAUGCAAUGUCGUUUUUCAUGCUGGAACGUCUUAUAUUGAUCACAUAUGCUUUGCAAAAAGUAU